GUCAGAUUGAACGCUGGCGGCAUGCCUUACACAUGCAAGUCGAACGGCAGCACGGGGGGUAACCCCUGGUGGCGAGUGGCGAACGGGUGAGUAAUAUAUCGGAACGUACCCUGUAGCGGGGGAUAACGCGUCGAAAGAUGUGCUAAUACCGCAUACGACCUACGGGUGAAAGCGGAGGACCGCAAGGCUUCGCACUAUAGGAGCGGCCGAUAUCGGAUUAGCUAGUUGGCGGGGUAACGGCCCACCAAGGCGACGAUCCGUAGCUGGUCUGAGAGGAUGAUCAGCCACACUGGAACUGAGACACGGUCCAGACUCCUACGGGAGGCAGCAGUGGGGAAUUUUGGACAAUGGGCGCAAGCCUGAUCCAGCCAUGCCGCGUGAGUGAAGAAGGCCUUCGGGUUGUAAAGCUUCUUUCGGCGGGGACGAAACGGUCCGUGCUAAUACCACGGACUACUGACGG
rnacentral:rRNA from 1 species